GAAGCUGAGUUCAUUGCAGCCACAACGGCCGCAUGUCAGGGCGUGUGGGUGGCGCGUCUGCUUGCAGAGAUCACAGGUGAAGAACUUCAGGUGCCACUGCUUCUGGUGGACAACAAAUCUGCCAUAGCUCUCUGCAAGAAUCCGGUUCUCCACGACAGAAGUAAGCACAUAGAUGUGCGGUAUCAUUUCAUCAGGGAAUGUGUGGAGGAUGGAAGGAUGACAGUUGAUUACAUCCGAACUGAAGAUCAGUUGGCUGACAUUCUGACGAAGCCCCUGGGACGGGUCAGGUUCAUCCAGCUGAGAGAGAAGAUUGGAAUGAAGAAAAUAAAGUAA
rnacentral:rRNA from 1 species